rnacentral:lncRNA from 1 species
AAAAAAAAAAAAAAAGAAAACAACUUGAGCAUCUCAGAAGAAUAAAGCCAUUGAUUGACAAGUUGCAGAUUUCCAGGAAGAGGGUAUAUAAAACUGUCAGUUCCCAUCCUCUCUAAGUUCUUCUGAGCCCUUUCCAGAAAGGCUUCGGAGCUCCGUGGAGGAGGAACAUUAAAGCUUGUGCUUCUUCCCACUUUUCCCCAAACUCACCCUAUUGUGUCCAUCUGACAAUGGCCAUGGCUAGUCCUAACAAUGGUCCUCUCUCAGCCUGCCUAGAUGUUCAAAGUCAACAUUAGAACCCAGCCUGAUCUGACUGGUAGUCACUGAAACCAUUUUUCUUUACUUCUCAAGAGUAAAGAAUUGGGGAAAACGAUAGUUUUCCUUGCUGUCUGUUAUGGAGAGCAGCCCCGACUGCCCUUCAUGGGCCUUGGAAUCGCUUGAUGACAUGAAAACAUAUGAUCAUUUUCCACAGUUCCUGCUUCAGUGAGAAGGAAAGGAUAUAUAGCUGGUGAGGGCUUUAAAGGAGGAGGAGACCAAUUUUUUCCUUGAGGGGAAAAAAAAAAUGCUAUUUCCCUGAAGAAGGCAAGACUUACAUGUUAUGUAAAAGGUGCCUGGGCAGUUAUCUGCACUGCCAAAUCUUAAGUCGAAUUGUAUGUACCUCUUAGCCUUCCAGAGAGCAGUGUCUAAACAGCGGCGAGCUCUUCACAUAGGACUCUGUGGGCACUUUUUGCAUCUGCUCUCUGAACUCUGCAUUUCAAGCUACAAAAUGAAUGGCCCGGGAAAUGCUGACCCUCCACAUCAAUGUCUUCCUCCAAAGCCAGAUUUCCAGGUUAAGAAAAGCUUUAAAGUAUAGCCAAAUCACAGAAAGAAAAGAAACUCUGAAAUGGCAACACACUGAGCCUUUAGCAACGCCCACCAGCCCCUGAGGCGUGGACCGGAAGUGUCUCCACUCAUUCACCACUGUCAUUAUGGCACUGCCCCAUCUCGCUCGUGGAUUAUUCUGGGUCGUGGUUCUCAUGACUUUCAGUAAAGCAACGCAAUUCUAAACAUGCUCAAUAAGCUACUGUUGAGUUCUUCCCGUUUUUGCAGGAUUAAAAUCUCAUUUUCCUUUGGUCUGAGUUGUAAAAUUAUCUGUUUAUUUGCAAGGCUGAGUGAGAGCGCAAAUUGACCAGCCGUGGAUGGAGGCCAUGUUGGCACGAUCCAGGCAUGGAACUGCAGGGCUAAUCAGGAUGACAGGAUGACUGCCUCAUUUGAUGCUCUGGCCCUCCUCUGAGAAGAGAAUCGGUGUGCAGAGUAGUGUGAGCUGCUAACAAUUAUAGUCACAAUUGAAAAGGAAAGGCUAGAAUUUAUAUUAAGGAGCCCAAGAGGAGAAUAUAAAAUAUUCAUUUAGAAAACAAGAGGAAAAGAGAAUCCUUAAAUAAGUGAAUGUGGCUGGAUGUACUAACAGACAUUAGUAAAAGUAUCAAAAUACCUUAAACAAAACAAAACAAAAAACUGAUCACAGCUAUUUCAUGACGAGUGCUAGGAUUUUGAAGGCAAAUUUUCAGUUAGGUUUUCAGGUGUGUGAACACACCUCCCUAGUUGAACUAACAUCAUCCUGGGGUCAAAGGGUCAUCUUUGUAAAAAGCUCUGCUCAGCUUCCAGCAAGCCAAGAUGCUUUGCCAUGGACAAUCCCUGGACACAAUAGAACGUGAUCCUGUCAGUAGUGGGAGGCUCUUAAUACCCAAGAGUCACUAAGCAGUCGCUGAUUUUAAACACAGGAAUGGAUAUUAGGUGCCUGAUGCUGAACAGACAGCAAUCAUUCUGAUGUCAAAGAUCUUUAAGUGGCUUUCAAGAAAAAAAAACUAAAUCAGAAAGUGUCUACUUAGAUCUUCUCAUAAAAGACUGGGAUAGUUUAUGUUUUCAGCACUUUAUAAAAUCUAAAGUGAUUUUGUUAUAGUUUUAGAUAUAAAGCAUCUUUUGCAUUAAAAAAAAAGGAAACAACAUUUUGAACUUUUCCUACAUUUCAACCUUUCAAAAUGUAAAAUGAUUAGGCCUGAAUUGCCCACUGGGCAUGGAAUGGUAUGUGGAUCACAGCCACCAUUAUGCAAAUCUGACUACAAAGCAUUGAUCUCAGAGACCAUAGACACCUGAAGCUACUAUUGCAUCAAGGAAAGAUGUCUUGCUUGUGAGUCAUGAUCUUUGUCCUACCUUCUGAACACCUCCCAGACUAAUCUGUUCUUCUCUGCUCCCUUCCCAAGCCAAACACUGACAGGGAAGCACCUUCCUUCUCAGAUUUUCUCCCUCUUCUUUCCCAAAAAUGAUGUAAAUAAAACAUAAAAGUCAUAAAACAUUCAUAAAUGCCCUCACAUGGCCCUAUUCUUGAAAGACUCAGAUUACAUUAUACAGAGGUUGUUAUUUAACUAUUAUUGAGUCAAGUUCCUUUUGCUAUGAAAAUAGCCAUAAUCCCCUGCACCAAGGAGCAGAAGAGACUGAAAACUGCACACUUCCUCUCUUAUGCCUCAUUUACAUCCAGAGAACCCUAUGUUUCACAGUUUGACAGUGGGACAGAUCAUGUGGAAAACUUAACCGGCUGUGGGCACAGUAGACAUCUGCACCUUUUUCUUGACAACUGUGACUGCUCAUAAAACAUCAGGUAUUCCUUCUGCUUGGCAAUUCUGUGAGGCAGAGACCCAGGUAAAGGCUUAUUUCUGCUUGACUGAUCCAGGAUUAGUAUCUCAAUCUCCUCUGUUGCCAAACAGCAACAGCAGUUGGCUGGCAAGCCUGCUGAAUGAAUAAUCUGUGUUUGUGUACACAUGCAUAAAGUAUAUCUAUAUACUUUAUUGUACACUACAAUCAAUGAUGGAUUUUUAAAAAUGAGAAAAAUAUGGUGCAGAGAAAAGGAGUAAUGGCUUUAGGGUCCUAAGAAAAAUGGACUUUCCUUUAAGAAAGCCAUAGAAAAUUCACAAAAGUUCCAUUUUCCUAAAACCAAUGACUAUUUAUGAAUAUUCAUUCAGAAGGGGUUUGAUUACAAUCUGCCAAGUUACAUGAAAAGGAAACAGGAUAAUCUUUCUAGAAAAAAAAAGUCUAUGAGAUUAUUCAUGUCUAAAAUUUUGGACAAUAUCUUGUCAAAGGGGUGAUGUGCCACCAUUUGUUUCUUAAUGCAUAAUCAUUUAUCCUAGGGAGGGGUGAAAGGAGCGUGCAACCACUUGCUCAAGGUGGUUCAAUCAGCAGUUUCCUGAAUGAACAGAAGAGAAAAACACCCAUAUAUCGGAAAGAAAACACAAAGGUCCAUUUGUUAAUGGAAUGGAGAACACUGUGUAAACUUCCUUGUAAAUUCUGUACAUAGUUCACUGAACUGUCCCCUGUGGUAUGGUGGUCCUCAACUUCUGGGUGGAUGUUUGGAAAACUGAAGCACUGUAAAUAUCAUACGCUUAUAAAGCCUUUGCUUUUU